UAGAUUAAGUUAUUAAGGGCGCACGGUGGAUGCCUUGGCACUAGAAGCCGAUGAAGGACGUUACUAACGACGAUAUGCUUUGGGGAGCUGUAAGUAAGCUUUGAUCCAGAGAUUUCCGAAUGGGGAAACCCAGCAUGAUUUAUGUCAUGUUAUCGAUAUGUGAAUACAUAGCAUAUCAGAAGGCACACCCGGAGAACUGAAACAUCUUAGUACCCGGAGGAAGAGAAAGAAAAUUCGAUUCCCUUAGUAGCGGCGAGCGAAACGGGAAGAGCCCAAACCAACAAGCUUGCUUGUUGGGGUUGUAGGACACUCUAUACGGAGUUACAAAGGACGACAUUAGACGAAUCAUCUGGAAAGAUGAAUCAAAGAAGGUAAUAAUCCUGUAGUCGAAAAUGUUGUCUCUCUUGAGUGGAUCCUGAGUACGACGGAGCACGUGAAAUUCCGUCGGAAUCUGGGAGGACCAUCUCCUAAGGCUAAAUACUCUCUAGUGACCGAUAGUGAACCAGUACCGUGAGGGAAAGGUGAAAAGCACCCCGGAAGGGGAGUGAAAUAGAACCUGAAACCGUGUGCUUACAAGUAGUCAGAGCCCGUUAAUGGGUGAUGGCGUGCCUUUUGUAGAAUGAACCGGCGAGUUACGAUUUGAUGCAAGGUUAAGCAGUAAAUGUGGAGCCGUAGCGAAAGCGAGUCUGAAUAGGGCGUUUAGUAUUUGGUCGUAGACCCGAAACCAGGUGAUCUACCCUUGGUCAGGUUGAAGUUCAGGUAACACUGAAUGGAGGACCGAACCGACUUACGUUGAAAAGUGAGCGGAUGAACUGAGGGUAGCGGAGAAAUUCCAAUCGAACCUGGAGAUAGCUGGUUCUCUCCGAAAUAGCUUUAGGGCUAGCCUCAAGUGAUGAUUAUUGGAGGUAGAGCACUGUUUGGACGAGGGGCCCCUCUCGGGUUACCGAAUUCAGACAAACUCCGAAUGCCAAUUAAUUUAACUUGGGAGUCAGAACAUGGGUGAUAAGGUCCGUGUUCGAAAGGGAAACAGCCCAGACCACCAGCUAAGGUCCCAAAAUAUAUGUUAAGUGGAAAAGGAUGUGGCGUUGCCCAGACAACUAGGAUGUUGGCUUAGAAGCAGCCAUCAUUUAAAGAGUGCGUAAUAGCUCACUAGUCGAGUGACACUGCGCCGAAAAUGUACCGGGGCUAAACAUAUUACCGAAGCUGUGGAUUGUCCUUUGGACAAUGGUAGGAGAGCGUUCUAAGGGCGUUGAAGCAUGAUCGUAAGGACAUGUGGAGCGCUUAGAAGUGAGAAUGCCGGUGUGAGUAGCGAAAGACGGGUGAGAAUCCCGUCCACCGAUUGACUAAGGUUUCCAGAGGAAGGCUCGUCCGCUCUGGGUUAGUCGGGUCCUAAGCUGAGGCCGACAGGCGUAGGCGAUGGAUAACAGGUUGAUAUUCCUGUACCACCUAUAAUCGUUUUAAUCGAUGGGGGGACGCAGUAGGAUAGGCGAAGCGUGCGAUUGGAUUGCACGUCUAAGCAGUAAGGCUGAGUAUUAGGCAAAUCCGGUACUCGUUAAGGCUGAGCUGUGAUGGGGAGAAGACAUUGUGUCUUCGAGUCGUUGAUUUCACACUGCCGAGAAAAGCCUCUAGAUAGAAAAUAGGUGCCCGUACCGCAAACCGACACAGGUAGUCAAGAUGAGAAUUCUAAGGUGAGCGAGCGAACUCUCGUUAAGGAACUCGGCAAAAUGACCCCGUAACUUCGGGAGAAGGGGUGCUCUUUAGGGUUAACGCCCAGAAGAGCCGCAGUGAAUAGGCCCAAGCGACUGUUUAUCAAAAACACAGGUCUCUGCUAAACCGUAAGGUGAUGUAUAGGGGCUGACGCCUGCCCGGUGCUGGAAGGUUAAGAGGAGUGGUUAGCUUCUGCGAAGCUACGAAUCGAAGCCCCAGUAAACGGCGGCCGUAACUAUAACGGUCCUAAGGUAGCGAAAUUCCUUGUCGGGUAAGUUCCGACCCGCACGAAAGGCGUAACGAUUUGGGCACUGUCUCAACGAGAGACUCGGUGAAAUCAUAGUACCUGUGAAGAUGCAGGUUACCCGCGACAGGACGGAAAGACCCCGUGGAGCUUUACUGUAGCCUGAUAUUGAAAUUCGGCACAGCUUGUACAGGAUAGGUAGGAGCCUUUGAAACGUGAGCGCUAGCUUACGUGGAGGCGCUGGUGGGAUACUACCCUAGCUGUGUUGGCUUUCUAACCCGCACCACUUAUCGUGGUGGGAGACAGUGUCAGGCGGGCAGUUUGACUGGGGCGGUCGCCUCCUAAAAGGUAACGGAGGCGCUCAAAGGUUCCCUCAGAAUGGUUGGAAAUCAUUCAUAGAGUGUAAAGGCAUAAGGGAGCUUGACUGCGAGACCUACAAGUCGAGCAGGGUCGAAAGACGGACUUAGUGAUCCGGUGGUUCCGCAUGGAAGGGCCAUCGCUCAACGGAUAAAAGCUACCCCGGGGAUAACAGGCUUAUCUCCCCCAAGAGUUCACAUCGACGGGGAGGUUUGGCACCUCGAUGUCGGCUCAUCGCAUCCUGGGGCUGUAGUCGGUCCCAAGGGUUGGGCUGUUCGCCCAUUAAAGCGGUACGCGAGCUGGGUUCAGAACGUCGUGAGACAGUUCGGUCCCUAUCCGUCGUGGGCGUAGGAAAUUUGAGAGGAGCUGUCCUUAGUACGAGAGGACCGGGAUGGACAUACCUCUGGUGUACCAGUUGUCGUGCCAACGGCAUAGCUGGGUAGCUAUGUGUGGACGGGAUAAGUGCUGAAAGCAUCUAAGCAUGAAGCCCCCCUCAAGAUGAGAUUUCCCAACUUCGGUUAUAAGAUCCCUCAAAGAUGAUGAGGUUAAUAGGUUCGAGGUGGAAGCAUGGUGACAUGUGGAGCUGACGAAUACUAAUCGAUCGAAGACUUAAUCAA
rnacentral:rRNA from 1 species